CGAAUAGUAUACGGUUGAUACGGAGGACUGUCUCCUUGAUAUUAAGAUUUCGAGUGCGGAAUCGGGCAAGAGCGUCUUCUUGAAAGUCGAUUUGUUUCGCGACAUCGUGAGAACAAGAAACUAAAAAAGUGCGAGGAAGUAAAGUGCUCGACACGAAUCCGUAUAUUGCACUAUGUUUCUUACCGAUCGUAGAAACUAUGGUGCCAACGAAGUGAAAGCUACCAGGAAAGUCCCAGCGGCGUCUCUUGUUAAUGAUGCCGGU